rnacentral:rRNA from 1 species
ACCCCGGGAAGAUGACCCGGUUGAUAGGCCCCAGGUGGAAGGGUGGCAACACCUUGAGCCGAGGGGUACUAAUCGGUCGAGGACUUGACCGCAA